CAAUUUUCAUAAAGAUACAUGAAAACCGAGAAAACCAACCCGAACUCCCAGAACUAAGAAGAGGGCUUACACGGCUUAUCCGUCUCCUGCAAUGCUAGAAGCUUUCCAUGGUGUUAUAUGAGCGAUGUAUUAGCUGCGAAAAAAGAGCACAAAUGAUUUUCGUCACAAGUUCCCAUGCAGUUGCAGUAAACAACGCGCAAGCACUAGACGGUGGUAGAACGUUUUCAAUUUUAUGUUAAUUAUUCAGACGCUUAAAGAUGUUUAAGGUGGAUAUUAUGCAAGGCACUUAUAUUAUUUAAAUUAAUUAUCUAAGUAUUUAUGUAUCAAAAUCUAUAUAUUUGAGUUUUAAAAAAAUCUAUAUAUUUGAUUUAUUUGCGAAAUAGUUCUAAAAUUAUAUGUGUAUAGUCUUUUAUAUUUUAAACAUAUGUGGUAUUAUAUGAAAUCAUUUAUAUAUGCUAAACCAUAUGUUUCACACGAAUUGUAUAUAUUAUUAAGUAUAUUUUAUUUUCACAUUUCUAAAAGUAAUGACCUUCAUCAAUUUGGCAUCUCCGAAAAACUCUUCCUGCUGGAGACGUGAUGUCUUAACGAAUCGAGAAACGUAAGUUGCUUUCCCAUCUUUGAUGCGUACCCCAUGUAUCAUUCUGCAAAGUUAUACAAAAAUGAAGGAAUUGACAGAAAAAAUAACAGAAGAUUCAUGCAUGUGAGAGCAAGGGCGUCAGAUACUUUGGGACCAUCAGUAUACAGUGGCCGAGCUAGGAUAUUAUUAUGUGGGGUCAGAUGAUCCAUGUGAGUUUUUGAAAAUAAUCUUUUUUGCAUAUAUUUCCUAUAGAAACAUAUGAUGAAUUUUGUUUAUUGACGCUUGUAAAUACUUGUAUCAUCAGUUUGACC